CCUACGGGUGGCUGCAGUGGGGAAUAUUGGACAAUGGGCGAAAGCCUGAUCCAGCAAUGCCGCGUGAGUGAUGAAGGCCUUAGGGUUGUAAAGCUCUUUUACCAGGGAUGAUAAUGACAGUACCUGGAGAAUAAGCUCCGGCUACCUCCGUGCCAGCAGCCGCGGUAAUACGUAGGGAGCUAGCGUUGUUCGGAAUUACUGGGCGUAAAGCGCACGUAGGCGGUUUUUCACGUCAGGGGUGAAAGCCCGGAGCUCAACUCCGGAAUUGCCCUUGAAACUGGAUGACUAGAGUCUGGGAGCGGUCAGUGGAAUUCCGGGUGUAGAGGUGAAAUUCGUAGAUAUUCGGAAGAACACCAGUGGCGAAGGCGACUGACUGGACAAGUAUUGACGCUGAGGUGCGAAAGCGUGGGGAGCAAACAGGGUUAGAUACCCGAGUAGUC
rnacentral:rRNA from 1 species